GCUUAGAGAGGGGUCAAUGUCCUAUCAGCUAGUUGGUAAGGUAAUGGCUUACCAAGGCUAAGACGGGUAGCCGGCCUGAGAGGGUGGUCGGCCACACUGGGACUGAGACACUGCCCAGACUCCUACGGGAGGCUGCAGUCGAGAAUCUUUCGCAAUGCCCGAAAGGGUGACGAAGCGACGCCGCGUGUGGGAAGAAGGCCUUCGGGUUGUAAACCACUGUCGGGAGUUAAGAAAUGUAAGGGUGUUAAUAGCAUCCUUACUUGACUAAGGCUCCGGAGGAAGCCACGGCUAACUCUGUGCCAGCAGCCGCGGUAAUACAGAGGCGGCAAGCGUUGUUCGGAAUUAUUGGGCGUAAAGAGCACGUAGGCGGCCUUGUAAGUCAGUUGUGAAAGCCUUCCGCUUAACGGAAGAACAGCAUCUGAUACUGCAAGGCUAGAGUGCGGAAGGG
rnacentral:rRNA from 1 species